rnacentral:misc_RNA from 1 species
AAGUCGUAACAAGGUCUCCGUAGGUGAACCUGCGGAGGGAUCAUUACCGAGUGAGGGCCUCCGGGUCCGACCUCCAACCCUUUGUGAACACAUCCCGUUGCUUCGGGGGCGACCCUGCCGGGCGCCCCCGGAGGACCAUUCAAAAACACUGCAUCAUUUGCGUCGGAGUUUACGAGUAAAUCGAAACAAAACUUUCAACAACGGAUCUCUUGGUUCUG